rnacentral:rRNA from 1 species
GCGUGAGUGAUGAAGGCCUUAGGGUUGUAAAGCUCUUUCGCGCGCGACGAUAAUGACGGUAGCGCGAGAAGAAGCCUCGGCUAACUCCGUGCCAGCAGCCGCGGUAAGACGGAGGAGGCUAGCGUUGUUCGGAAUUACUGGGCGUAAAGCGCACGUAGGCGGUAACGUAAGUCGGGGGUGAAAGCCCGGGGCUUAACCCUGGAAUUGCCCUCGAGACUGCGUUGCUUGAGUGUGGAAGAGGAGAGCGGAAUUCCCAGUGUAGAGGUGAAAUUCGU